GAUGAAGAACGUAGCGAAAUGCGAUAAGUAAUGUGAAUUGCAGAAUUCAGUGAAUCAUCGAAUCUUUGAACGCACCUUGCGCCUUUUGGUAUUCCGAAAGGCACACCUGUUUGAGCGUCAUGAAUACCUCAAUCUCCAUCUUUUCUUCGGAUUGAUGGGUGACUUGGAUGUUGAGCCCUGCUGGUAUGCUAUAUCAGCUAGCUUUAAACUUAUUAGCCGGCUCUGUACUGGAUCGGUUUGACUCGACGUGAUAAUAUUAUCGUUGAGGAUGCAUGUCUCAUGCAGCCGGAAAGUAUCAAAGCAGCUUCUAGCUUGCCUUUAGUGCACUUUUACAUUUUAGACCUCAGAUCAGGUGGGACUACCCGCUGAACUUAAGCAUAUCAAUAAGCGGAGGA
rnacentral:misc_RNA from 1 species